GAUGAAGAACGUAGCGAAAUGCGAUAAGUAAUGUGAAUUGCAGAAUUCAGUGAAUCAUCGAAUCUUUGAACGCACAUUGCGCCCCCCAGUAUUCUGGCGGGCAUGCCUGUUCGAGCGUCAUUUCAACCAUCAAGCCCUGCUUGUGUUGGGGUCCUGCGGCUGCCCGCAGGCCCUGAAAACCAGUGGCGGGCUCGCUAGUCACACCGAGCGCAGUAGCACAUCUCGCUCAGGGCGUGCGGCGGGCUCCAGCCGUUAAAGCACCCACCUUUCGCAAGGUUGACCUCGGAUCAGGUAGGAAUACCCGCUGAACUUAAGCAUAUCAAUAAGCAGGA
rnacentral:misc_RNA from 1 species